rnacentral:rRNA from 1 species
CACGUAGGGCGCAAGCGUUGUCCGGAAUUAUUGGGCGUAAAGAGCUCGUAGGCGGUCUGUUACGUCUGCUGUGAAAACCCGGGGCUUAACCCUGGGCUUGCAGUGGAUACGGGCAGACUAGAGGCAGGUAGGGGAGAAUGGAAUUCCCGGUGUAGCGGUGAAAUGCGCAGAUAUCGGGAGGAACACCGGUGGCGAAGGCGGUUCUCUGGGCCUGACCUGACGCUGAGGCACGAAGGUCAGGGGAGCAAACAGG